rnacentral:rRNA from 1 species
GGGCGCAAGCCUGAUGCAGCGACGCCGCGUGAGGGAUGGAGGCCUUCGGGUCGUAAAACUCUGUUGUUGGAGAGAAUGGUCGGCAGAGUAACUGUGUCGGCGUGACGGUAUCCAACCAGAAAGCCACGGCUAACUACGUGCCAGCAGCCGCGGUAAUACGUAGGUGGCAAGCGUUAUCCGGAAUUAUUGGGCGUAAAGGGCUCGUAGGCGGUUCGUCGCGUCCGGUGUGAAAGUCCAUCGCUUAACGGUGGAUCCGCGCCGGGUACGGGCGGGCUUGAGUGCGGUAGGGGAGACUGGAAUUCCCGGUGUAACGGUGGAAUGUGUAGAUAUCGGGAAGAACACC